rnacentral:rRNA from 1 species
AGUGAACGCUGGCGGUAGGCCUAACACAUGCAAGUCGAACGGCAGCACAGUAAGAGCUUGCUCUUACGGGUGGCGAGUGGCGGACGGGUGAGGAAUACAUCGGAAUCUACUUUUUCGGGGGGGAUAACGUAGGGGGAGUUACGCUAAUACCGCAUACGACCUACGGGUGAGAGGGGGGGAUCUUCGGACCUUGCGCGAUUGGAUGAGCCGCUGUCGGAUUAGCUAGUGGGGUGGGUAAAGGCCCACCAAGGCGACGAUCCGUAGCUGGUCUGAGAGGAUGGUCAGCCACACUGGAACUGAGACAGGGACCAGACGCCUACGGGAGGCAGCAGUGGGGAAUGUGGGACAAUAGGGGGAAGCCUGACACAGCGAUACCGCGUGGGUGAAGAAGGCCUUCGGUUUGUAAAGCCCUUUUGUUGGGAAAGAAAAGCAGCAGGUUAAUACCACGCUGUUCUGACGGUACCCAAAGAAUAAGCACCGGCUAACUUCGUG